AGCGAACGCUGGCGGCAGGCCUAACACAUGCAAGUCGAACGAAGUCUUCGGACUUAGUGGCGGACGGGUGAGUAACACGUGGGAACGUGCCUUUAGGUUCGGAAUAACUCAGGGAAACUUGUGCUAAUACCGAAUGUGCCCUUCGGGGGAAAGAUUUAUCGCCUUUAGAGCGGCCCGCGUCUGAUUAGCUAGUUGGUGAGGUAGUGGCCCACCAAGGCGACGAUCAGUAGCUGGUCUGAGAGGAUGACCAGCCACAUUGGGACUGAGACACGGCCCAAACUCCUACGGGAGGCAGCAGUGGGGAAUCUUGCGCAAUGGGCGAAAGCCUGACGCAGCCAUGCCGCGUGGAUGAUGAAGGUCUUAGGAUUGUAAAAUCCUUUCACCGGUGAAGAUAAUGACUGUAGCCGGAGAAGAAGCCCCGGCUAACUUCGUGCCAGCCGCCGCGGUAAUAC
rnacentral:rRNA from 1 species